rnacentral:rRNA from 1 species
CAUAGGCUUCAAGCGUUGUCCGGAUUUAUUGGGCGUAAAGAGUUCGUAGGCGGUCGAGUAAGUCGGGUGUGAAAAUUCUGGGCUCAACCCAGAGACGCCACCCGAUACUGCUUAACUUGAGUUCGAUAGGGGAGUGGGGAAUUCCUAGUGUAGCGGUGAAAUGCGCCGAUAUUAGGAGGAACACCGGUGGCGAAGGCGCCACUCUGGAUCGACACUGACGCUGAUGAAGGAAAACAGGGGUAGCAAACAGGAGUAGAUGCCCUGGUAGUCCAUGCGGUAAACGGUGGGCACUAGGUGUGGGUUUCUAUUAACGAAAUCCGCGCCGUCGCUAACGCAUUAAGUGCCCCGCCUGGGGAGUACGGUCGCAAGACUG